GACGAACGCUGGCGGCGUGCUUAACACAUGCAAGUCGAACGGAAAGGCCCUGCUUUUGUGGGGUGCUCGAUUGGCGAACGGGUGAGUAACACGUGAGUAACCUGCCCUUGACUUUGGGAUAACUUCAGGAAACUGGGGCUAAUACCGGAUAGGAGCUCCUGCUGCAUGGUGGGGGUUGGAAAGUUUCGGCGGUUGGGGAUGGACUCGCGGCUUAUCAGCUUGUUUGUGGGGUAGUGGCUUACCAAGGCUUUGACGGGUAGCCGGCCUGAGAGGGUGACCGGCGACAAUGGGACUGAGAGACGGCGCAGAAUCCUACGGGAGGCAGAAGUGGGGAAGAUUGCACAAUGGGCGGAAGCCUGAUGCAGAAACGCCGCGUGCGGGAUGACGGCCUUCGGGGUGUAAACAGCUUUCGCCUGUGACGAAGCGUGAGUGACGGUAAUGGGUAAAGAAGCACCGGCUAACUACGUG
rnacentral:rRNA from 1 species